rnacentral:rRNA from 1 species
UACGGAGGGUGCAAGCGUUGUUCGGAAUCAUUGGGCGUAAAGCGCGCGCAGGCGGAUCAGCAAGUCAGGUGUGAAAUCUCGGAGCUCAACUCCGAAACUGCGCCUGAAACUGCUAGUCUAGAAUGUCAGAGUGGGUAGGGGAAUUUCACGUGUAGGGGUAAAAUCCGUAGAGAUGUGAAGGAACACCGGAGGCGAAGGCGCCUGCCUGGAUGACUAUUGACGCUGAGGCGCGAAAGCGUGGGGAGCAAACAGG